GACGUAGGGCGCGAGCGUUGUCCGGAUUUAUUGGGCGUAAAGAGCUCGUAGGCGGCUUGUCGCGUCGUCCGUGAAAAACCUGCGGCUCAACUGCAGGCUGGCGGUCGAUACGGGCAGGCUGGAGUUCGGUAGGGGAGACUGGAAUUCCUGGUGUAGCGGUGAAAUGCGUAGAUAUCUGGAGGAACACCGGUGGCGAAGGCGGCAUCCUGGACCGACGACUGACGCUGAGGCGCGAAAGCUAGGGGAGCAAACGGG
rnacentral:rRNA from 1 species